rnacentral:rRNA from 1 species
AUUGAACGCUGGCGGCAGGCCUAACACAUGCAAGUCGAGCGAGCGGCGGACGGGUGAGUAAUGUAUGGGGACUGCCCGUUAGAGGGGGGUAACUACUGGAAACGGUGGCUAAUACCGCAUACUGUCGGGUGGCCCAUAUGGGAUUGGCUAGUAGGUUAGGUGAUGGCUUACCUAGGCGACGAUCCCUAGCUGGUCUGAGAGGAUGAUCAGCCACACUGGGACAUAGAGACGGCCCAGAGGCCUACGGAGGAAGCAGUGGGGAAUUUUGCACAAUGGGAGCAAGCCUGAUGCAGCCAUGCCGCGUGGAUGAAGAAGGCCCGAGGGUUGUAAAGUACUUUCAGUCGGGAGGCGUUACCUGCAGAAGAAGCACCGGCUAACUCCGUGCCAGCAGCCGCGGUAAUUC